rnacentral:rRNA from 1 species
AGAACGCUGGCGGCGUGCCUAACACAUGCAAGUCGAGCGAUGAAAUUCCCUUCGGGGAAUGGAUUAGCGGCGGACGGGUGAGUAACACGUGGGCAACCUGCCUCAAAGUGGGGAAUAGCCCUCCGAAAGGAGGAGUAAUACCGCAUAACAUGGUAAAAUCGCAUGAUUUAAUCAUUAAAGAUUUAUCGCUUUGAGAUGGGCCCGCGGCGCAUUAGCUAGUUGGUAAGGUAAUGGCUUACCAAGGCGACGAUGCGUAGCCGACCUGAGAGGGUGAUCGGCCACAUUGGAACUGAGAUACGGUCCAGACUCCUACGGGAGGCAGCAGUGGGGAAUAUUGCGCAAUGGGGGAAACCCUGACGCAGCAACGCCGCGUGGGUGAUGAAGGUCUUCGGAUUGUAAAACCCUGUCUUUGGGGACGAUAAUGACGGUACCCAAGGAGGAAGCCACGGCUAACUACGUG